GGGCGCUUAGCUCAGCUGGUAGAGCAGCUGACUCUUAAUCAGUAGGUCAUAGGUUCGAAUCCUAUAGCGCCCACCA
rnacentral:tRNA from 1 species